rnacentral:rRNA from 1 species
AUGAGAGCGCCUCCCAUUACAAAUGAUGUCUGCUACCGCAAUGGCAGCCAUCAGAUCAUUCAGGCAGUGGAUGGUGCUGUUGGUCUCGCCAUAUUGUCUCACAAUGGCCAUACGAUUCAAAUGUGGCAAAAGGAGGUCAAUUCUCAGAGUGUUAACAAAUGGUUGUUGUGGCAGACCAUUGAAAUGCAUAACAUUCAUGGGUUACCUGCUCAGAUUGAAGGAAGGAAGGCAAAGUUAUUUAUACUGGGAUAUGCUGAGGAUACUGAUGGAAUACUUUUAUAUAUGGACGACGGUGUCUAUAUGGUUCAAUUGAAGUUGAUGCAAUCUAGAAAAGUUUGUGACCCCCCCACAAAAGAAUACUAUCAUUCUUUCGAGAGUUUCUAUAUGCCAGGCACAACCAUUGCUCGUGGUUAUGAUAGAGCUGAAAUGUUGUGA